rnacentral:rRNA from 1 species
GACGAACGCUGGCGGCGUGCUUAACACAUGCAAGUCGAGCGAGAAAGCUCCUUCGGGAGUGAGUACAGCGGCGAACGGGUGAGUAACACGUGGGCAACCUGCCCUAGGGAGCGGGACAACCCGAGGAAACUCGGGCUAAUACCGCAUGAUUCGUCAUGUCUCAAGGCAUGACGGGAAAUGGUAGCUUCGGCCUCCGCCCUAGGAUGGGCCCGCGGCGCAUUAGCUUGUUGGGUGGGUAGCGGCUCACCAAGGCGACGAUGCGUAGCUGGUCUGAGAGGACGAUCAGCCACACUGGGACUGAGACACGGCCCAGACUCCUACGGGAGGCAGCAGUGGGGAAUCUUGCGCAAUGGGCGGAAGCCUGACGCAGCAACGCCGCGUGAGGGAAGACGGCCUG